rnacentral:rRNA from 1 species
UACGAGGGGGGCAAGCGUUGUUCGGAUUUAUUGGGCGUAAAGGGUGCGUAGGCGGUUUGGCAAGUCUUGUGUGAAAUCUUUGGGCUCAACCCAAAGUCUGCACAAGAAACUGCCGGGCUUGAGUAUGGGAGAGGUGAGUGGAAUUCCGAGUGUAGAGGUGAAAUUCGUAGAUAUUCGGAAGAACACCAGUGGCGAAGGCGGCUCACUGGACUGGUAUCGACGCUGAGGUGCGAAAGCGUGGGGAGCAAACAGG